GUUCCCAGGGGAAAAAAAUAAAGAAAUGAGGAUCAUACAAUCAUCACCAGCUCAGGGCCUCUCCGGGGUACUUGCUAGUGAUUCAGCCCUCCCCUGCCAAGUCCCUUCUGUCUUCCAGCAGGGUCCCAGAGGAUUCCCACUGCUCCUUGCUCCAGUCCUCAGCAACCACAGCAGCUCCUACUAUCACCGCUCCUCACCAAUUCUGACCUCCCUGUGUGGAACAGUGAGGACUAGCUCUGGCUUCAGGUGUGUUUCUAUAACUCUCUGAGCUCAGAUCCUGCCUGCAGCCAUCUUGAACCUGUGAAGAAGUGAUCAUGGGGCAGCUUGCAUCCCUUCAUAACUGCUAAUUUUUAUUUCAGGUAUGAAAGUAAAGGCCAGAUUAAUUUUUUUACUCCAUAAGAUGGCAAUCUUCACUAUUGCUAUGAGGGAACUAUCUGAGGGCAUCAACCACCUAAGCAGCCAAGGACCAGAACUGAGGAUCUUACUUCCAAUUUUGAGUCAAUUCUCCCUGACAUUUUGAUGGAGUCACUUGAAAGGCUGAUGCAUCCAGGUCCUGUCAGAUGUGCACAACAAAUGGCCUUGCUGUGAGAGCCACGUCAGAAUAUUAACCACAGGCAAGUGGGCAAAUACGGUAACACAGACACACAGCUCAA